GACGAUCCAUCUUCACUUCUCCAUCCCUUCUGAAACAGAACAAUAAUCAAAAACCAAAAAAACAGAAAAGCAAUUAAGAUACACAUCGAGAAUCAACCCAGAUCCCAUUUAUUUUCUACCUUCCAUCAGGCUUUUCACAAGGUAAUUUUUCAAUCUCUUCCUCAAUAUGAAUCUCUUCAUCAUCAUAUCCUUCGCAAAUAAUCUCUCCAUCGUCGUCUCUGUAGCAAAUCACACCAUUAGAACGAUCCUCGAAAACCUGUCAAAGUCAACUACACUGUUACACACGAUGAUCUGACGAUUGAUCAAACAAAUCUACACACAGAUCGAUUACACAAACUAACCAGGUUGUUCUUCAAAGAAGAUGUAAUUUGG
rnacentral:lncRNA from 1 species